rnacentral:rRNA from 1 species
GAUGAACGCUGGCGGCGUGCCUAAUACAUGCAAGUCGAGCGAACAGACGAGGAGCUUGCUCCUCUGACGUUAGCGGCGGACGGGUGAGUAACACGUGGAUAACCUACCUAUAAGACUGGGAUAACUUCGGGAAACCGGAGCUAAUACCGGAUAAUAUAUUGAACCGCAUGGUUCAAUAGUGAAAGACGGUUUUGCUGUCACUUAUAGAUGGAUCCGCGCCGCAUUAGCUAGUUGGUAAGGUAACGGCUUACCAAGGCAACGAUGCGUAGCCGACCUGAGAGGGUGAUCGGCCACACUGGAACUGAGACACGGUCCAGACUCCUACGGGAGGCAGCAGUAGGGAAUCUUCCGCAAUGGGCGAAAGCCGGACGGAGCAACGCCGCGUGAGUGAUGAAGUUCUUCGGAUCGUAAAACUCUGUUAUUAGGGAAGAACAAAUGUGUAAGUAACUAUGCACGUCUUGACGGUACCUAAUCAGAAAGCCACGGCUAACUACGUG